AGAGUUUGAUCAUGGCUCAGAUUGAACGCUGGCGGCAGGCCUAACACAUGCAAGUCGAGCGGUAGCACAGAGAGCUUGCUCUCGGGUGACGAGCGGCGGACGGGUGAGUAAUGUCUGGGAAACUGCCUGAUGGAGGGGGAUAACUACUGGAAACGGUAGCUAAUACCGCAUAACGUCGCAAGACCAAAGUGGGGGACCUUCGGGCCUCAUGCCAUCAGAUGUGCCCAGAUGGGAUUAGCUAGUAGGUGGGGUAAUGGCUCACCUAGGCGACGAUCCCUAGCUGGUCUGAGAGGAUGACCAGCCACACUGGAACUGAGACACGGUCCAGACUCCUACGGGAGGCAGCAGUGGGGAAUAUUGCACAAUGGGCGCAAGCCUGAUGCAGCCAUGCCGCGUGUGUGAAGAAGGCCUUCGGGUUGUAAAGCACUUUCAGCGGGGAGGAAGGCGUUAAGGUUAAUAACCUUGGCGAUUGACGUUACCCGCAGAAGAAGCACCGGCUAACUCCGUGCCAGCAGCCGCGGUAAUACGGAGGGUGCAAGCGUUAAUCGGAAUUACUGGGCGUAAAGCGCACGCAGGCGGUCUGUCAAGUCGGAUGUGAAAUCCCCGGGCUCAACCUGGGAACUGCAUUCGAAACUGGCAGGCUAGAGUCUUGUAGAGGGGGGUAGAAUUCCAGGUGUAGCGGUGAAAUGCGUAGAGAUCUGGAGGAAUACCGGUGGCGAAGGCGGCCCCCUGGACAAAGACUGACGCUCAGGUGCGAAAGCGUGGGGAGCAAACAGGAUUAGAUACCCUGGUAGUCCACGCCGUAAACGAUGUCGAUUUGGAGGUUGUGCCCUUGAGGCGUGGCUUCCGGAGCUAACGCGUUAAAUCGACCGCCUGGGGAGUACGGCCGCAAGGUUAAAACUCAAAUGAAUUGACGGGGGCCCGCACAAGCGGUGGAGCAUGUGGUUUAAUUCGAUGCAACGCGAAGAACCUUACCUGGUCUUGACAUCCACAGAACUUUCCAGAGAUGGAUUGGUGCCUUCGGGAACUGUGAGACAGGUGCUGCAUGGCUGUCGUCAGCUCGUGUUGUGAAAUGUUGGGUUAAGUCCCGCAACGAGCGCAACCCUUAUCCUUUGUUGCCAGCGGUUAGGCCGGGAACUCAAAGGAGACUGCCAGUGAUAAACUGGAGGAAGGUGGGGAUGACGUCAAGUCAUCAUGGCCCUUACGACCAGGGCUACACACGUGCUACAAUGGCAUAUACAAAGAGAAGCGACCUCGCGAGAGCAAGCGGACCUCAUAAAGUAUGUCGUAGUCCGGAUUGGAGUCUGCAACUCGACUCCAUGAAGUCGGAAUCGCUAGUAAUCGUAGAUCAGAAUGCUACGGUGAAUACGUUCCCGGGCCUUGUACACACCGCCCGUCACACCAUGGGAGUGGGUUGCAAAAGAAGUAGGUAGCUUAACCUUCGGGAGGGCGCUUACCACUUUGUGAUUCAUGACUGGGGUGAAGUCGUAACAAGGUAACCGUAGGGGAACCUGCGGUUGGAUCACCU
rnacentral:rRNA from 6 species